UGCUGCCGGUGCUGCGGGAGGAGGCGGCUCCGCCGCGUGUUGGGCGCUGCGAGCAGGGAGCGCUGCGGUAUCGCCGGCAUGACGGGGCUGCUGCCUGCGUUAGUGCCCGUGGCUCUUUGUGCCGUGACAGCGGAUGGAGCGGCGCUGGGCGGUAAAGCCAGAGAUGGCCGGGAGAAUGCCCAGCGCAGGGAGCGGGCGGGCUGUAUGCUUCGGAUGGCACAGGUGCGAGCUGCAAAGCCACCCCCCCUUCCGCCCCUGCCCUCCCGAGCCCCGGGGAAAAUGCUUUCCAGCAUUGUCGAGCUUCUGAGAGACAAAACUUGUGAUUUGACACUAGCAUCCAGAAAAGGUUUCUGUCUAGAUUAGCAAAUGCCUAAAUUGUUCUUGGUUACAUCCCAUGACCGGUUUUAGGCAGUGACUUCAUACUGCUUUUAGGAUUUUCUUGUACACUGGUGAGAAAAUAGGCAGGUCUGAUAGUGGUUUCACUUUUUUUCUACUUCACGUUCCAUAAGAUUCUUUUAUCCAAGCAAUUGUUUUAAAAUCCUACUGUAAGCGUUUGUGGUUCACUUUUUUUUUCUUUGCAGCACCCAUGACUUUUUUUUUCUCUAAAUCGGGAGUAAAUAUAGCUGAGUAAAAUUACCUUGGUUAUCUUCCUUCUUUUUAAACUUAAUUGUUUUUAUUAAUAAUUCUUUUUGAAUAUGCAGAAGACGUGGGUAUAUCCUGUAAUAUAUCGUAGCUUUUCUUGUUUACAGGGUACUCAGAAAAUAUGUCUCCCUUAGAGUGCCACAGAAACGUUCUCAGUGCGAUCUCUAUCAAGUGCUAUGAGUCUUGAUAAAUUGGAGAAGUGCCCAAGAGAAAUUCAUCAUCCUGAGAUACAAAAGGUAGGAAGUGACUUUUUUUGGUUUGGUUCUUUUUCUUUAUUGUUUUCUGGAAAUAGAAGUAAUUAAGUAUAGAUACUACUGGUUUGUUUCUUCCAGUAGCUGAUAAUACUAAUACCAAUAAUAAUAAUAAGAGUAAAGUAAUACUACUUAAAUUGUCUUUAUUUAUCCAUUGAACUGGCCAUUUUAAAUCUAAACUUCUAAACACAAAUCAAACCAUCAUCCUUGUAGAAUCUUUAAUAGGAGUGGGCUAAAGAUCCUGGUUUUGUUGACAGGAUUUAUUGGUUCAUGAAGAGCAAGAGGUAAGUACAAGCCUAACUACCCUCUAGCUCACAGACCUGCCCGGUGAAUAGAGCUUUGUUUUUUUGAUGGGCUUGUGAUGACUUUGAGAUCAAUUGCUCAUUCAUUACAGUAAAAAAAAAAAAAAAUUGUUUUGAACAUGACAGCAAAAAUAACUUUAAGCACAACUUAAUAAUAAUAGAUCACCAAUUUUAGUUAAUAAUUUUAUGCUGUACUCUUGGGUGAGGGAAGACUCGGACACUCAAUAUGAGAUCAGCAAGCUAUGUUUAUUGCAGAGAGUAUCAGACACUUAUACAGCACAUAAUAAGCUUAUGAAUAUUCUGUAAGCCAAGCGAUCUAUUGGUUAAACUAUACCAUCAACUCUUCCUCAUUCCUUUGGGCCUACAUUCCCUAUUUCCCACGUCUCUCUGUCUACUUGUUAUCCUACCCAGCUAGGCCCAGGCACACGCUAUCUUGCAGGUGCAAAACUCAAAAAUACCUGUGUUCGGUACUUUCCCAGCUCCUGGUCGGCUAACGAGCGAAUGUCUGCGUGACCUCUGUCAUGGAGCCAUUUCUCCACACUAUACUAUCAAAGUUUAAAGGUAAAUUAUUAUAUAUUAGGAGAUGGUGUAAAGUGUAUGUUGUAAUGUGUAGGAUAUAUACAAAGAUACGUACUUGAAAGUCCGUAGAGGAAACAAAUUUUUACGCCUUCUGUUUGACUGUUUGUCAUAUAUUUGGUUUUAUUUCCCAGGGAUCAGUGAAUUUUAACUCUGGAGUCCUCUAUGCUAAGGAUGCUCAGCUUACAGAUGAUGAAAUGUUCAGUAAUGUAUUUGCUGGAGCUGUGCUUACCCAAGGUUUGGGUAAAACAAGCUUUGGGUUCCCUCUGUCUCACUGGGAGUUGCCCAAUUCAGUUGCAUCUGGUGAAAUUCACCCUGAGACCUUACAGAACCAGCUCCAACUACGUGAGAGCCAUUUGCAGUUCUCUCCAGACGCCUGGAGAAUGGGCGACGUUUCUGAGGAUCCGGCGAGCGUGCUUCUAUCAAAACUCAGUCUGUGAAAUUUCUGGGGAAAACCCUUCUGUGUCCUGAAGGGUUCAAACUCUGGUGAGGAUCCAGUUAUCAGGUGCUCACCUGGAUGGUUCCAGCUCCCAAAGGGAAAGACUCUCGUAUCCUUGUCGUCGGGCUCGGUGCUGUCCAAGAAGAUACAGAGACUAAAAAAAUCAUAAGAAGCAAAAUAUGACUGCAGGGAAAAGAAGCUGGAGAGAACAGAAGGUGAUAUUGUUAUCCUUACCCUGUAUUAGAGACAUCCGCUGUGCUUUGAUGCUGGCAGCUGCCAGGGGCUUGUUAGCUCUUUGUAGGCAGGUGUAGGUGUUCACUUGUAGGUUUUUUCUCUGGACAAGUCAAUUCAAACUUUGCUAAGCUUAUAUUUGCAGAUUACUCUCUAGCACAGUCCAGCGUGACAUUUUUGAAUGUUGUAAAAAUACCAUGUUACUUGGAAAUUGCUAAUGAAGAGAAGCUUUAGGGGAAAAUAAGAUUUCAGGGUUGGGAGAUGUGAGAAGAAUUGUGUGGGGAUGUUAGACUGAAGUAAAGCACUCUUGAAGCUGGACUGGCACGCUGGCAGGUCCCCUAUUAAACAGUAGUGCUGAGAUUAGCCUGGGGGUUGCCCAUUGUUUCUGUAGAAAUCAAUGUUUCCUGGUCUUCAGAGGGAAGCUGCUUUGAAAAGCUGGAAGGUGCAGCAUGCUGACAAUCCCCGUGCUUUGGA